GAAUUCACUAGUGAUUUCUGGUUGAUCCUGCCAGACCCGACUGCUAUCAGAGUGGGACUAAGCCAUGCGAGUCAACGUAGUAAUACGUGGCAUACGGCUCAGUAACACGUAGUCAACAUACCCAGGGGACGUGGAUAACCUCGGGAAACUGAGGAUAAACCGCGAUAGGCCAUAAUUCCUGGAAUGGUUUAUGACUGAAACCUACAUGGCCCCUGGAUUGGACUGCGGCCGAUCAGGCUGUUGGUGAGGUAAUGGCCCACCAAACCUGUAACCGGUACGGGCUCUGAGAGGAGAAGCCCGGAGAUGGGCACUGAGACAAGGGCCCAGGCCCUAUGGGGCGCAGCAGGCGCGAAACCUCUGCAAUAGGCGAAAGCCUGACAGGGUUACUCUGAGUGGUUCCCGCUAAGGGGAUCUUUUGGCACCUCUAAAAAUGGUGCAGAAUAAGGGGUGGGCAAGCCUGGUGUCAGCCGCCGCGGUAAUACCAGCACCCCGAGUGGUCGGGACGAUUAUUGGGCCUAAAGCAUCCGUAGCCGGUCAUGCAAGUCUUCCGUUAAAUCCACCCGCUCAACGGUUGGGCUGCGGAGGAUACUACGUGGCUAGGAGGCGGGAGAGGCAAGCGGUACUCAGUGGGUAGGGGUAAAAUCCUUUGAUCCAUUGAAGACCACCAGUGGCGAAGGCGGCUUGCCAGAACGCGCUCGACGGUGAGGGAUGAAAGCUGGGGGAGCAAACCGGAUUAGAUACCCGGGUAGUCCCAGCUGUAAACGAUGCAGACUCGGUGAUGGGAUGGCCUCGAGCUAUCCCAGUGCCGCAGGGAAGCCGUUAAGUCUGCCGCCUGGGGAGUACGGUCGCAAGACUGAAACUUAAAGGAAUUGGCGGGGGAGCACCACAAGGGGUGAAGCCUGCGGUUCAAUUGGAUUCAACGCCGGAAAUCGAAUUCCCGCGGCC
rnacentral:rRNA from 1 species